rnacentral:misc_RNA from 1 species
CAGAAUUCGAAUUUAAUCCAUUAAAGCCAACUAGUUCAUCAUGCAGAUAACCAAAAAGACUACUAAUGUAGCCAUAAAGUAGUUAAACAUAACAGGUAAGGUGUUCAUCAUCAAAAGCAGUCAAAGCAAGAUAGCCAAGGAAAUACUUUCAGUUACCUAAAAAAGCAUUAUAAAAGAAACUUAGUCAACCUCCUCGAUCUUGGGACCAGCACCGCUGCCUCCAGUAGGAACAUCAUCAUCCUCAUCCAUACCACCCAUAUCUGGACCAGCACCGCCCUGGUACAUCUUAGCAAUGAUAGGGUUGCAGAUGCCCUCCAGCUCCUUCAUCUUAUCUUCAAACUCA